AAAAUUUGGGGUGAAAGGCUCUGCCAUCAGCCUGGUUGCCAGGCAGUGUAGUUAGCUGAUUGCCCAAAGCAAC
ensembl:miRNA tgu-mir-34b tgu-mir-34b